UACAGAGGGUGCAAGCGUUAAUCGGAAUUACUGGGCGUAAAGCGUGCGUAGACGGUUGCGUAAGUCAGAUGUGAAAGCCCCGGGCUCAACCUGGGAAUUGCAUUUGAGACUGCGUAGCUAGGGUGCGGAAGAGGGAAGCGGAAUUUCCGGUGUAGCGGUGAAAUGCGUAGAUAUCGGAAGGAACACCAGUGGCGAAAGCGGCUCUCUGGAACGGUACUGACGCUGAGACGCGAAAGCGUGGGGAGCGAACAGG
rnacentral:rRNA from 1 species